GAUCAUGGCUCAGGAUGAACGCUAGCGACAGUCUUAACACAUUCAAGUCGAGGGGCAGCGAGGGAGUGGCAACACUUCUGUCGGCGACCGGCGCACGGGUGAGUAACGCGUAUGCAACCUGCCCUUCACAGGGGGAUAACCGGGAGAAAUUCCGACUAAUACCGCAUACGUCCUCCGGGGGCAUCCCCGGGGGAUGAAAGAAUUAUCGGUGAAGGAUGGGCAUGCGUGAUAUUAGGUAGUUGGCGGGG
rnacentral:rRNA from 1 species